rnacentral:rRNA from 1 species
GAUCUUGCACGGGGCCCCCCGUUCCCCCCGACGCGGCUGUUCCCCCGGGGACGGACUGUCCGCAGUGCGUCCCUCGCCGCGCCGCGCCGCCGGGGUGGGGUGUGCCCACGUUCGAGGGGCGCCAGGGGUCGGCGGCGAGUCGGCUCCCCACC